AUGGUAGUCACUACCACCACCAUAUGCAAUGAUAGUGACAAGUUUACCAAAGAUGAUGGACUUGCAAAGAAUCAAGGUGUCCAGUCCCAUGUGCAGCUGCAAGAGUCUGCUCCUAACCUGGUGAAGCCAAUCAGAUCCUGCCCCUCACCUGUGCUGUGUCUGAUUACUCCAUUACCACUAAUGACUGUUGAGCCUGGAUCCGCCAGCCCACAGGAAGGGGCUGGAGUGGAUGGGGAGGUAUGUUAUAAUGGUAACACUUACUACAGCUCAUCCCUGAAGAGGUGCCCCUCCAUCUCCAGAGACACAUCCAAGAACGAGUUCUCCAUGCAGCUGAGCUCUGUGACCACAGAGGACACAGCUACGUAUUACUGUGCAAGAAGCACAGUGAGGAAACUUCAGUAUGAGCCCUGA